rnacentral:misc_RNA from 1 species
GAAAGAUCAGGGGGCCGUGGCGGUGGUGCCGGCAAAGAUAAAAUUGAUGCUCUUGGUAGACUAUUGACACGCAUUUUGCGGCACAUGGCCUCUGAGCUAAACUUGAAUAUGAGGAAUGAUGGGUAUGUGAAGGUGCAAGAUCUGCUAAAGUUAAACUUAAAAACAUUUGCGAAUGUCCCAUUGAGGUCACAUACAGUUGAUGAUGUCAAAGAGGCAGUACGAAAGGAUAACAAGCAAAGAUUCGGCCUUUUGGAAGAAAAUGGAGAGCUUCUGAUACGUGCCAACCAAGGCCAUACAGUGAAGAUAGUUGAAACUGAAAGCUUAUUGAAACCGAUCGUUUCAGCUGAUGAAGUUCCAGUUUGUGUACAUGGCACUUACAAGAAGAAUUUGGAAUCAAUUUUGGAGCAUGGGCUCAAACGCAUGAAAAGGUUACAUGUUCAUUUCUCAUGUGGCUUGCCAACAGACGGUGAAGUAAUUAGUGGAAUGAGG